UCUCUCGAAAUCUCGAAUUCUCGAUCUCUCACUCUCUUCAACUGAACUCUACUGUAAUUUCUUCUCUCAAUCUCUCAAGUCUCAUCCGUUCCUCUCUCAAUCUCUCUCACCCGUGACCUGUUCCUCAGUCCUCACUUAAUCUCUCUCACUCUCUCUUCAACUCUCAUGUAAUCUCUUCUUCAGAUCAGAUCAGAUCCUUCGCGGCGCGACCUGUCAUCACCUUCACGGUGCGGCUGUGUUCAUUUCAUAAGUCAUCAGCAUCACUCGUCUCAUCUCUCACUCUGUCGUGGCCAGCAAAACGGGUUGAAAUUCACAACUGGGAUCAUCAUCUUCUUCUUCAUCAUAUGGCGGUUGUGUUCCACAAUUAGUUUUUGGCGUUGCGUGUUCUUUUAUCUAAAGUUUCAGUAUCAUUUAGAACACGGUGUUAAGAGUUGUGUGCGGAGACUACAGAUGAGAGCAUUAAGCAUAUGCAGAAUAGAGACAGCUGGAAUUGAUUACUAGACAUGAUCGGCAAUUUUGACAGCUGGUGGCAGUGGUCUAAAUUGUUUAGGGGAUGAAAUAUUAAAUUUUUACUUGGGUUUGUUAGGGCUGAACAAUUGAGAAGAUUCAACAUUUGUAAGUGCCGUC
rnacentral:lncRNA from 1 species